rnacentral:rRNA from 1 species
UGCGUAGGCGGAUUAAUAAGUCAGUGGUGAAAACCUGCAGCUUAACUGUAGACGUGCCAUUGAUACUGUUAGUCUUGAGUACGGUCAAGGUAGGCGGAAUGUGUAAUGUAGCGGUGAAAUGCUUAGAUAUUACACAGAACACCGAUUGCGAAGGCAGCUUACUGGGCCAUUACUGACGCUGAGGCACGAAAGCGUGGGGAGCGAACAGGAUUAGAUACCCUGGUAGUCC